CCAACCUAAACCAAUCAUCCUGCAUUGGGAUGGAUGGAUUGAGGGAAAGAUCAUGGUACCAGAUCUGCAGGCAGCUGGGGACAGAAGUCUUCACUUGCAUGGGUGGUGAGAGCAGAACUGAGAAGGUGGGGUCAACUUUAAAGAUGGGCAUUUCCAAGGACACGGAGUAUUGAGCAUUGAGUCCACUGGGAGGACACCAAACGCCAGGCUCCAGAGAUCCAAAUUUGUAGAAUCG
rnacentral:lncRNA from 1 species